AGAUUUCUGAAGAUCAUUAAUUGGAGAGAGUUCUGAAGAACAUCAAUCAUAUAUCACACAACAGUGCACAAGUGACACCUGAGAUGUUUUCAGCCAUGCUAAGAAGCCAGAUGUGAGGCACACACAGGUGCAACACCUCACUGCACUCAGGGACACGGGGAGCCACAGCACUUGGGACAGACACUGCUGCCACAAGCCUCAAAACUCUAGGAGCACAUCCUUCAAGCCAAUGCCUGCUCGGAGCCCCAGAAAGCCAUUUCUAUCUUUUUGGGCAGGAAGAACUUGCUGCACCAGAUACAGAAGAAUGCAGUGAGAAUAACUGGCCCUACUGUGAGAUCAGGAUCUGGACUGCACAGGAACUGCCUUGGAAGCCAAACUAACAAGAACAGAAAGAAGAUCUACAGAAUGGGCAGAAACAAAAACGAUCACUCUUGUCUUCAACAACUGAGCAGAACUGCAACAACCAGGAGGAUGAGGGGUAUUUAAUCCAUGUGGCACAGCUGGGAAGGCCUACCUAGCCCUUUCCCUCUCCUUCAUGCACUAAAUAAAUUUCAAUUGUAAAUUCUUGAGUUUUUUCA
rnacentral:lncRNA from 1 species